GGCUUUUGGUCUACCAGCCCUAGUCUGAUUAUUGACUGAAUAGCUUCCCCUCCCGACGUCCAUCGAACACCGCAGCCGUCGUGGUCAAGAGGAGACUUCCGAGUCGACCGACCUCCUUCUCCCUGUAGAUCGAGGGCCGCCGGCGACGGACUAUCGAGCUCGGCUGCGGGAUGGGCGGAGGAAGGAGGAGGAUAAUGGAGUGGGCGGGGCGGGCGGAGCACCUGGGCGGGAUCCCGCGGGCGCUGACGAUCUUGGCCGUGGGAGCCUUCGCAAAGACCGUCACUUGCUUCCUCAACUCCACCUCCGUACACAACCCUCAAACACUCAUCCGCCUCGUCAAGUCCCGCCCUACCGGCGUGCCCCUCCUCACCGUCAGCAACCACAUGUCAACAUUGGAUGACCCACUUAUAUGGGGUUUUAAGGGUUUCCCAACUAUGGAUGCAAAACUUGCAAGGUGGGUUCUGGCAGCAGAGGACAUAUGCUUCAAAAAUAAACUUCUCUCUUACAUGUUUCGCAUUGGAAAAUGCAUCCCAAUAAACAGGGGUGGAGGAAUUUAUCAAGAACAUAUGAAUGAAGCUCUUGAAGUGUUAAGUCAUGGAGGUUGGUUGCAUACAUUUCCUGAAGGAAAAGUGUCCCAACUUAGUGCUCCUAUUAAGCGUCUGAAAUGGGGAACUGCUAGUCUCAUUGUUCGUGCACCAGUCACCCCUAUUGUUUUACCUAUUGUUCACUCUGGUUUUGAGAAGCUUCUGAGACAUCUUCUCUGCCUUCUGGGAACAUUAGCACAUGCCCUGCAAGCAUCAUCAAUUCAUCCAUUCAGAAUGAGUAUGACAAAGGGAGGAGCCCACCAGCCACUCAGGUGCUUCACUAUCUGUACAAUUGAACCCCAUUCCUUAUUGCAUGAAUCAUGCAUGUGCAUGUGUGUGAAACAUGAAGAAAACAGUCUAGGCACAUGCAGUGUCUUAAUCGUGGAUUUCUUCCUGAUGCCAUACAUGUAUUUCAGUUUAAGGAAAUCUCUGAUUAUUGAAUAAUUUCCUCUCGAUUGAAAUUUCUUUUCUUCCAAGUGAUCUUUGAUGAGGUAAUGUCAUUAAUGAGGAAGUGGCUUUUUUCUUAAAUAUCUUUUCUGAGCAAUUUUGAGGAAAUGUUGGCAGGUUUAAAAGGAGGUAGCUGGCUGUUGUUUCUUUCUCCAAGCUCAAGUUCUGGGUAUCCAUCACUCAAAAUAGUCAUGGAAAGUAAUUGCUCACUAGCCACCAUCAGUGUCAUGCGGGAGGAGCUAACUUCAUGCUUUUGGAGUUUAUCUCAAAUGAUCUCAUGCUACCAGCAGCGGUUGGUUUCUGAUAGGUGUGAAUGCUGCACAGUGUUGAUAGAAUGGGUUGAUCGGCCGAGUCGUACGAGCGGAUGCAGCAGAUCAGAAAGGCCGAUCGGGCAGAAAGGUUGAUUGAGAGGACAGACAGACCUGGUGAGAGGCAGGCCGGACGAUCUGGUGUCGGGCGGGCAGACAAGCAGGUCGGGCGAAGCAGACCGACUGAGCGAGAGGCAAACUAGGCAGACAGGUCGGGCGAAGCAUAUCGGCCGAGCGAGAGGUAGACUGGGCGGACAGACAGGUUUGGCGAAAGGCAGAUCGGGCAAACAGAGAGGUUGGCUGGGCGGAUAAAGAAAUCGACCGAGAAAAUUGACCGAGACGUGCGACUAACACAGUUUUCUUGAAACAUAUUUGCCCCACCUUCGACAGUGUUUCGAGGUUUACUCGGGUCGUCUAUUUUUCAUGAUAGAAUGGUUGAUCAUGAUUCCACCAAGCACUGUUAAUUGUUCCACUUUGACAAAUUUUGUCUCAAUCGAUCUGGCAUUCGACGUGCACUGGUCGUGCCCGCACACGAGUCAACAUGGUUCAAUGCAAAUCUGAGCUCUGGAUUUGUACCCCUUGCGCAUCCA